rnacentral:rRNA from 1 species
AUUGAACGCUGGCGGCAUGCCUUACACAUGCAAGUCGAACGGCAGCACGGGUGCUUGCACCUGGUGGCGAGUGGCGAACGGGUGAGUAAUACAUCGGAACAUGUCCUGUAGUGGGGGAUAGCCCGGCGAAAGCCGGAUUAAUACCGCAUACGAUCCACGGAUGAAAGCGGGGGACCUUCGGGCCUCGCGCUAUAGGGUUGGCCGAUGGCUGAUUAGCUAGUUGGUGGGGUAAAGGCCUACCAAGGCGACGAUCAGUAGCUGGUCUGAGAGGACGACCAGCCACACUGGGACUGAGACACGGCCCAGACCCCUACGGGAGGCAGCAGUGGGGAAUUUUGGACAAUGGGCGAAAGCCUGAUCCAGCAAUGCCGCGUGUGUGAAGAAGGACUUCGGGUUGUAAAGCACUUUUGUCCGGAAAGAAAUCCUUGACUCUAAUACAGUCGGGGGAUGACGGUACCGGAAGAAUAAGCACCGGCUAACUACGUG